rnacentral:lncRNA from 1 species
AAGCCCAGCAGCCUCACAGGAGCCAUACAAGAUGUCGUAGCCAGCAGAUUCACAACAAGAUCAUCCACAAAUUCUUAGAUACAGACUAUAAAGUCUCAAAGCACAUAAUUAUCAGAGGAAAGAGGUCUCUUGAAUCUGAAAUUCACCAAAAGUCUUAAGCUCAAAGGAGGAUUUGAGGCAAAAAUUGGAUACUUCUUGGGUCCAAGAGGGUUUCAUGGCUGUUUAAUAAUCAUAGUUCAUAAAUUCUGUACUUCAUUACAUAGACACUGUGUUAUCUAUUAUUCCAUGAGAGUACUGUUUCCCGGUCUUGACUAUAAAACAAACUAUAUUAGGUUAGGCAUAUUGAAAUUCAUUCCUUUCGGAAGAUGAGCACAAGCAUACCUUGCAUAAUAACCGCCUUCCGGAUCAUUAUUUACAUCAUAAAACAAUCCGCGGAAGUAAACAAAAAUUGACCGCGGAGUGUCAAGGGGAAUCUGGUGGGCCUGCAUCUUUUGAGGAGGAGCAUACGGAGGAAUUGUAAUUGACCCCUCAUUCAAGCACACAUGGUUUCGCUGCCCAAAAGUUUGAACUAAAGUAGCACGCCGGAGUAGUGGAAGAAUGCCCCGCUCAAUGGCUUUCUCUUCCUACAGUAUUUGAGCGAAAAUAAACCAUGAUAAAUUAGUCACAGCUGGUACAAAUUGUUUGCUAGAUUAAUGCAAAUUAGAGGAUCAAAAAAUUCAUAUCACUGAGGUCUUGAUUUUAAAUGGUUCCAGCGGGGAAUCAGAUUACUAAACCCAUAAAACCUUUUUGACAUGUCUAUGAUGCAUGGAAGCAGAAACGAUUUAGAUGAGUAAUAAAAUCUUAAUUCUGUUGGCAUGUUCAGUUAAAACUGAUAAUGUCAUCGAGCUUCAUUUAUCAUAAGCAUUACCAAUCCCCCCUUAGGAGGAUUGAUAGCAUUGGGUGGAUUGGUGGCCGGCCUGUGUGGCCAGCAGGAGAGAGUCGGGUUUUACCCACCCAAAAAAACAAAAGAAAAGAGGUUGUAGCAGCAAGGGCGUAGAAAAAACUGCAAGCUACAGCCCUAUUUGAAACAACUGAGAGAAGCAUGGGGGACUGCCUGGAACAGUCACCCGGUAUAUGUAGAACAUGAGUGUUUAAAAGUUUUAAAGUUAAAUCUUCUUUUUUUCUUCUCCCCAUUUAGAGGUCCAAUAAUGAAUUAAGAAAUUUUAAAGGUGCCCGUUCUUGAGUUUAUAUUAGCAUUAACCAUGUUUUAUCAAGGCCCUUCGAGCACAAACUCACUAGUCAAAAUCUAAUCACCAUGAAACCAAAGCCACACUUAUCAAAAUCUCCAUACCUAACUAGGCUACCAAUGGCAACAUCUCAAUGAGACUACAGGAUCAGUGCCUAAGGAAACUGGGAAGUCACACUAAAAAGGACAGAAGAUGUUAACUUAAGCAUGUAUAAUGUAGCUCGAUGACAUCAGGAUACUUUUGUUCUUCCAAAAUGGGGCAAGAUAUGGUUACUAAGAAAGUGUGACCCAGCAGCAUUUAACAGUCCUACCUGAUAGUGGAAGCAGGCUCCAAAGUCAUGGGGCACAACAAAGAAGUGAUCAGCCCCUUCUGUACGAUUCCAGUAAGGCCAAUUGGAGGAGAGAAGCUGUAUUGCACUUCUCAUCAUCCUUGGAGAAUUGAAGGGCAACGGCAAGCCAGUAGGUGUGAGGUCACAAGUGGGGUAUAUAGGGGUAUAAAACCAAUCUGCUUCUUCUGGAUUAAGGGUUCGGACUGGGCUGGAUAAGAGAAAUCUAUGCAUGAAAAUUUCAGCAGCAAACAUAUGAUUGAGACAUCUGGGGUCCUUCUGCAGUAAUUUCUUGUUGUAU